rnacentral:misc_RNA from 1 species
AAGUCGUAACAAGGUUUCCGUAGGUGAACCUGCGGAAGGAUCAUCAAUGAAAUUCUUCAUUUCAACCAAGGGAGGACCGCGGUCUUCUCCAGUCUACUCAACGUUGCUUGGCAGUGUGUGUUGCUUUUGUAGCGAUACAAAACACACGCAUUCUCAUACACUUCAAUGUUUGUUUUUCUUCGCGAAAAACGAUACCUUUUUUAAGAUUUACCGAACCACAAUCAAUACAACUUUUAGCAAUGGAUCUCUAGGCUCUC